rnacentral:lncRNA from 1 species
AUGUACCCACACCACACACACUCAUACAGCUGCACCCAUUCUACACACACCCAUAAACACACACAGACUCAGGCCUAUCAUCCCCCUGGUAACCCACUACAAACACACACCUCCACUCAACCCCCCUACACCCACUCCACACACACAGAGGCCUGUCAUCCCCCUGGUCUUCCACUCCACACACACACACACCUCCAUACAUACACACCAACUCCACACACACCCAUAUACCUACACCCACUCCACACAUACUAUACACACACCUACCUAGUCCACACACACUCCACACACACACAGGCCUGCCAUAGCCCCUGGUCACCUACUGCGUGGGUACACACACCCACACCCACACCCAGUCCACACACUCCACAUACAACCAGCACUCCACAUACACACACUCAGUGCACAUACAUGGUUACCCACUCACUCCACAUACAUGCACGCACCACACACUCACUCCACACACACGCACACAGGCUGUCACCCCCCUGGUCAGCCACUACACACAUACACACACAGGCCUGUCAUAGCCCCUGGUCACCUACUGCAUGUGCACACACACACACCCAGUCCACACACACUCCACAUACACACACUCAGUGCACAUACAUGGUUACCCACUCACUCCACACACAUGCACACAGGCUGCCACCCCCCUGGUCAACCACUACACACACUGACACACACAUACACAGGCCUGUCAUCUCCCUGGCCACCCACUCCACACACACACACUCCACACACACACACCACACACACACCACACCCACUCCACACACACACACCACACCCACUCCACACAACCACACCCACUCCACACACACACACAAACACUCACACACAUACACAGACUCAGGCCGUCACAGCCCCGGUCACCCAUUCCACACACACACCUCCACUCAACCCCCCACUCCCACGCCACACACAGAGGCCUGUCAUCCCCCCCCCCCCGCACCCUUCCAGCACGGUCAGGCCUCCCGUUUGGUUGCAGAAGCACAGUGGGAACGGUGUGGAUCGCUCUGUCUUGCUCUGCUUUCAAAUACAGAAAUCUUCUCUACAACAGUGAGGCUGGGGCCGGUGCAGUGGCAGAGUGGGUUAAGCCACGGCCUGUGA